rnacentral:rRNA from 1 species
UACGUAGGGGGCAAGCGUUGUCCGGAAUCAUUGGGCGUAAAGCGCGCGUAGGCGGCCCGGUAAGUCCGUUGUGAAAGUCAAAGGCUCAACCUUUGAACGCCGAUGGAUACUGCCGGGCUAGAGUCCGGAAGAGGAGAGUGGAAUUCCUGGUGUAGCGGUGAAAUGCGCAGAUAUCAGGAAGAACACCUAUGGCGAAGGCAGCUCUCUGGGACGGUACUGACGCUGAGACGCGAAAGCGUGGGGGAGCGAACAGG